CCUACGGGAGACAGCAGUGGGGAAUAUUGCACAAUGGGGGAAACCCUGAUGCAGCAACGCCGCGUGGGUGAAGGCGCGUUUCGGCGCGUAAAGCCCCGUCAGCGGGGGAGAAGAACGACGUUCCCCUACCAAGCAGCCACGGCUAACUACGUACCAGAAGCCGCGGUAAUACGGAGGGGGCGAGCGUUAUCCGGAAUUACUGGGUGUAUCGGGAGCGUAUGGGGGGUGAUAAGGCUGAGGUGGAAGCCCGCGGCCCAACCGGGGAACUGCGUUUGAAACGGGUUUGUUGGAGUAUGGGAGGGGUAAGCGGAAUUGCUGGUGUAGCGGGGAAAUGCGUAGAGAUCA
rnacentral:rRNA from 1 species